CCGUUCGACUCACAGCUGCUCCGCGUUCUGUCGUUUCGCCGUUAUUUGCUGUCGACGAGCGCGAGUCGUGCGGGAACCGAUUACACGCGUCACCGAAUUCGGGAACCGAAAGUUGCCGAAUCACGCCUCCAAGCUUGUGCAAUGCAGCAGGCAGAGAAACUUUAAUUUUCAAUCAAAAUUUCAAAAUGUAAAAAUCAAAGAUGGCGGAUGUGGCCCGAUAUGCUAUCUCAGUUGCAGUCCCACCGAUGUUUGUGAAAAUCAGAAACGAUGAUCCAGAAGGACUUGGUUGCUCAACACAAUUUUGUGUUGAGUCGACCUAAAAGUUAGGUUACUCUGAGACAUCGGAGCAUGAGGAAAGUGUUCUACCGAAGUUAUGUACUCUUGUGUUUCUCCUAACCUCUAACUUGCGAGCGGGUAGCAAAUUGGACUACCACUGAUGUGAUCCAGAUUGAUUCUGACGGCUGGCGACUGAUUUUUAACGAAGUCGCAGAUUUUCGGCACAAAGAUUUGGUCACCUCAACCCAAAGAU